rnacentral:lncRNA from 1 species
AAAAACUGAAGCAUUGUGAGAGGCGGUUAAGAAAGGGCUUUGUCUGUUGCAAGUGGAGAGUGGCAGCAUUGAUAGCAGCGUGUUGAACGUAGCACAGCGGCUGGUCAGCGAUGGCGGUGUGGAGCGAAGAAGCCGGGCUGGGCUGCCGUGUGGCGUGACAGCGCUGACGGGUGUUGCUAUGAAUUUGGAGAGCGAAUACAGUGGGCAGGUUGGCAGAGCGCAACCGGGCUGGCUGGUCAGCGAUGGCAGCGCUGGCAUGGUUCGGGUAGCUGCGCGGGGCGGGGUGCUGGCCGUUGGCGGGUGGGCUGGGCGGGGCUGGGCUUGGUGGCAGCGCUGGCGGGUGGCAGCGCUGCCGGGGGCGUGGCUGGGCGGUCUUUGCGGGCUGGCAGCGCUGGUGUGGCUGGGCGGGCUUGGCGGGCUGGCAGCGCUGGCGGGUGGCAGCG